UAAACCCUAACUUCAUUUCAUCCACAGCCGCUCCUCCUUUCUCUCUCUCUGGUGAUUUUCAAUUUAGGGUUUCACGAGAUCUGUGGUAUGAGCAAGAUCUCACCAGAUCCAACAAUGGUGUGGUGAUCUCAGGCGAUAUAUGUGCUUCAGUUUUGUUAACCAUCUCCUUCCUUUCUCCAGGCGAUUCUAGGGUUUCGUUAUAAGUCGCUUCAAGAUCUACGCUUCCUCAGUGAUGAAUCUCUCUAGAUCCGACACUAGAGUCGACCGCUCGGUACCUUACUUUUUACCAUAUCUUUUUUUUUGUUAUUUGAAUCGGAUCUGUGUAAUAUUUCAGAUUCUGGUGGUUGUGGUGGAAGAUGAUGGCGAUGACACAGAUCUACCGUUUGGUUGCCAGAUCUACCGUUUGAAGUUGAAGGUACUGGCCGUGGUAUACAAGCUUUCUACCGGAUCUGUGUGUUCACUCGCGUGGCCGUCCAACUUUUUCAUUGUUUAGGUUCUUAGUGACUUCACCAAUAAAGUUCUAAUGACAUUGGUGGAAUUGGAGUGUAAAAAGAUCCAUAAAGAGGAGUGAAUGUCAAAUAUGAAACCAAAAACAACAAAAAAGGACACAAAGCUGGUGCUCUUCGUGAAGAUUUCAAUAUGUGACCGAUUCGGAAGCUGUUGGGAAUUUUCUGGCCAUGAAAGAAAGAAGUUGGAGACUUAAUGGUGAUGAUUUUCUAAAGUGGCCAGGCUAUUUCAAAAAACUAAUGCUCGCAUUGGAUUUGAUUGCAACAUUAGAAAGGGGGUUAGCAGCCUAAACGACUGGCAUGUCUAUCUGCAUUGGGAAGCACAGAAUUUGGCACGCGUUGUUCCGUCAUUGGGGCCUGAGGGUGUAGACCUUCUAUCGAAAAUGCUGAAAUACGACCCUGCUGACAGGAUUUCGGCUAAACAUGCUAUGGAUCAUCCUUAUUUCGACAGAGUUUAUCUCUAGGUGAAAAAAUAUAGACCAUGGGACUGUCUCAAAUGGGUUUGUUAGGGUGGUUUGCGAUAUUGAUGUGCAAAGACAAGUUUGUGGAAUACUGGGUAUCAUCCUUAUAUGGUUUCGGAUUCUCCCAUUUAGUUUUUGUCGCUGGAGUUAUGUACUUUGCAAUGCUAUUAAUUGGUUGGAAUUCUCAUCACACCAUGAAAAAGUGGACUAUUGAUGUUGGUUGGACAAGUACCUGGGUCAGAAUAGUAAAUGAGUGGCUAGCAGUCUGUGUUUACUACGGGUCAACAGGUCAGCAUAUGAUAUAUUUACGCCCAGAAAGCACUAUUGAAAAAGGGUACCUUCCAACAAAUCACUUCACAUGGACAUGAGUUCGGGAAAGAUGGUCGGAAAUGGAGAAGUACUCACCAAUUAAGCCAAUCUUUGACUCCUUUAUGAUAGAGUGGGAAGCAAAGAGAGGAAAAAGGGUGCGAGAACGCUGCCCCCUCCUUGCCGAAAUUGUUUCUUUUCCCUGUUGCCGGUACGACCAACCUAAAAAUAUGUAUGAUAAAGGUGAAAAAUCCUUAGAAACUAUAAUACCAUCUCAACAUUAUUAGUUGUCGUGUUGUACUGCGUUGUAAAUUGCCCUCGCAGCCGAUUGACUGCUCACCACCCUAUAUAGAUGGCAGACUGCUCCCCUUUCAAAGUGCAACUAUAGUUUUUUUUUUCUCAGAUUUACUUCAUCUGAUGGGAUAUAGAUUGCGGGUUGUACAUUGCUCAUAGCAUUCAUUGCUAGCUAAUGCAGUUUUGGCACGCGUGUUCGUUUUUUUUAAUACUAUGUUUGUGACUGAUA